ensembl:lncRNA
GGCAAAAUUGACCCCAAGAAAUAUAAUUGUGCCCCGCAUGAACAUUCUUAAACUUUAUUCAUAUAAAGGAGCUUGAUCAGACCGAGGGCAGCAGAGCAGAUCCAGCCUCCGCCACCGUUUUCUGGUUCAGAAGAAAGUAAAAAAAGAGAAAAAUAGACCAUUGAAAGAUGGAAGACAUGUUAGCUCGGGCUGGAGAGACAACCACAGAACCACCUGCAUUUCUUGCAAGGCUGUCGAGGGACUCGAGCUCCUCAAACACGAACUGCCAACAUCUUUGUCCACCAGCACCGCGAAUUAUUGUGCUGACUUCAUCAAGGGAGCGUUAACGUUAAUAAAUACGCGUCCUUUCGUCACCAGGCGGCCGAAAGCAAGCUUGGAUACAAAGACAGCGUUCUGCAGAAUAGUCAAGCUGUUUGACAUUGCUGAACAUAUUGCUAAACACGAGAAACUACACAGAAAUAAAAAUAAAAUGGAAUGAGUCUGAUUUAUGUUUUCUGUUGGUUUUGGUUAAAAAAAGCUAAGAAAACACUGUAGACUCCUGCCUAAAAGGCUUAUUGCUGCCAUUUGAUGACAAAUGCAAAAAAUGCCACCAAUUUCUUAUAAAAUGUGCCUGGUUUUCGGUCAGUGGGGGCCUGAAUAAUAUGUAACGUCCCUGUGCCCCGACGCGGACAGCGAAAGCUAUUAUGUGCCGGACCCGGACGCUCCUAAUUUGAUGCUGUUUCCGGUCUUUUCUUU